UACGGAGGGAGCUAGCGUUGUUCGGAAUUACUGGGCGUAAAGCGCACGUAGGCGGCGACUCAAGUCAGAGGUGAAAGCCCGGGGCUCAACCCCGGAACUGCCUUUGAAACUAGGUUGCUAGAAUCCUGGAGAGGUUAGUGGAAUUCCGAGUGUAGAGGUGAAAUUCGUAGAUAUUCGGAAGAACACCAGUGGCGAAGGCGACUAACUGGACAGGUAUUGACGCUGAGGUGCGAAAGCGUGGGGAGCAAACAGG
rnacentral:rRNA from 1 species